rnacentral:lncRNA from 1 species
CAUGGUUUAGCCAUUUCCAUUUCCCAUAUUCACAUCCAUAUCCAUAGUUACGCCAAAUCGCGUUCGUGAUCAUCAAAUAUCUGCUUUAGGAUCUAAAUAUUCUUUGGGUUUUCUUUGAUUUUUAGUUUAAAGGUUUUCUAUACAAAAUAUUUCUUACUUUUUGGGUUUACAUUUUAAUUUCUUUUAGUUUUGUUAUUGGUUUAUGUUUUGUGUUUAGGUGUAGUUUUGGUUUAAUUCCUUCUCGAAAAAGUUAGACUAAACUGAUUGAAGCUUUUUUGACACAUCGUAGACAUUUUUGGAUAUUUAAUUUCCCCCGUUUCGUUCGAGACUAGUAUUGUUCAGUGCAAAUUUCACUUGGAAGCCAAACGGUGUACGAACUGGAAGGGGUUGGGAGGGGGGUCAAUGCACUGCAAUUGGGGGUCCAUUUGUGGUGCUUUGUUUGGAUGAUAUCUGGCUACAUGGAACAUCGUAACUACAACAACAUUCGAAUGACACAAAGCACAAGCAACACACUUACAUACAUCGAUACAUCUAGACAUAUCAAUAAAAAUAGACAAUUAUCGAUGAACAUCGUAAUAUUCUCUUUCUCUGUUCCACAAUCAAUU